rnacentral:rRNA from 1 species
UACGAAGGGGGCUAGCGUUGUUCGGAAUCACUGGGCGUAAAGCGCACGUAGGCGGAUCUUUAAGUCAGGGGUGAAAUCCCGAGGCUCAACCUCGGAACUGCCUUUGAUACUGGGGAUCUCGAGUCCGGGAGAGGUGAGUGGAACUGCGAGUGUAGAGGUGAAAUUCGUAGAUAUUCGCAAGAACACCAGUGGCGAAGGCGGCUCACUGGCCCGAUACCUGACGCUGAGGCACGAAAGCGUGGGGAGCAAACAGGG